CUACCCACCUACCUCCUCGGCCCCGCACUGCUCACAUGCAAACCGUUUUGGACAGCAAGCGAGAAAAGCUGUCGCCGCUGCUGGUUGUCGUCGUCGUUGUAUGGCAACAUUUUUGCAGUCAAUGGGUAGCACACAUUAGCAGAAGUAAAUUCAUUGACGACAGACGCGUACAUUUUGUGUUGCGGACUCGGCGCAUCGGCAUCGAGCCAGCUGUCAUCAGAGCUCAAGCAAUCAGCAACGGCCAGCCGCCGUACAAAUAACUUACUAACAAUUUAAAUGGCAUUUCAAAUAUCAUACAUCCACUUUCCAACUUAACAACGCCGCAUUGUUUGCCUGUGCGGUUGUGUGAGUGCGAUUGCCACUCUAUGUGUGAGUGUGUGUAUGAGCGCGUUCUGUGCAAUGAAUUAAAUCACUUAUAAAACGAGACACUUUUGAAAUAAUAAAAAAUGAUAAGUAAGAAAUUGAACAAUGCAUGCAUGUGUGUUUGUGCGCACACACGUACACAUAUCAGUAUACAGCACACACACACACCCUUAUAUACUUAUGCAUAGUUCUUAAUUGUCUAACUCGAGUAGUUUUCAAGUGCUUGCCAAGUGAUGUAGUGGAAAAACAAUUUAUGAAUUUCUGUAGUUAAAUUGAAAAUUAAUGAAAUGAAUUCUACACACAUGAACAUACCAUGUAGUAUGUGUGUAUUUAGUGUAUAUAAAUACAUAAAGUAUUUGACGCAGCGUAAGAACAUUAAUUUGACGCCGUAUACACACACAUAUUCACCAUUAAGUGUAGAGAAAAGUGGAGGAAUGCAAAAAGGAACUCAUGAAAUCUCUGCGGAAAACUAUUAUGUACCGUUACACUAACAUUUUGCCGCAAAAAAGCAGUAUAAUGUUGGCCAUAAGCAUAAUGUGUUCUUCGAAUAAAUAUGGCAAAGUAAAUGAAACAUUGAGAAGAGGAGCAGAACAUUUGGUAUAUUGGAGGUAUUGGAAAAUAAUAUACCAAAUAUUUCUUACUCUUUUUACUAGUAAUAGAAUAACUAUGUAAACUUUGAAAAAUGCAAGGAGUAAAAUUUGUCAAACUGUUUAGAACAUAGUGGCUUUAAGUUUAAAAAAAAUAUAUACCUACAUAAAUAAAUCUAAAA